GUGUUCGCUUCAGUGGCAUAUGUACUAAAAUUGAUACUGAACGAUACAGAGAAGAUUAGCAUGGACCCUGCACAAGGAUGACACGCAAGUUUGUGAAGCAGUCCAUAUUUUU
ensembl:snRNA U6 U6 spliceosomal RNA